UCUUAGGUUUCUCCCAGCAGGUACAGAGUCACUGGUCUGUCAGCGCCCAGGACAAGCUUGGAGAGGUGCCAGGUGUUGAGGGCUGAACGACGGAGAAAACACACACUGUCCUGCCUUCCUGCAGCUUGUGACCUUCAGGAGAGAAGAGCAGACCCUUGGUCACACCAUCUAUGCACCAUCACAACUGUGAGAAGAGCUGCAAGAAUGAACACACCAUAGGCACUGCCCUAUGCAACAGGGAAGGCUUCCUGGAGGAGGAAGGCAUGUGUGAACUGAGCUUAGAAGAAAUAACACCUUCCCAUGAGUCAACAAAGUGAAGAGGGGAAAGAACAUUCCAGGCAGAGGAAAUGGCAUGGGCUUCUGUGACCAGAGGGCUCCUGGUGUAUUCAAAGACUUGAUGGAUAUCCCAGAUCACUCUUUCUGUCCCUGGACUGAGUGGCAUGCCGGGCUCUUACUAGGCUCCUAGUUUGCUGGGUCAAACUGAGCCCAGCUCUUCCCUUUCUUCCUAUUGGCAAAAAUGAGAGCCCCAGGCAGUAUUUGAAAGGGGAAGUGGCCUCCUAUUGGCAAGUCCAUCGGAUCUUCUCUCAUUCAAUUUAUACUAAUUAAAAAUACUAAUAGGUGUCAUAUAUUGGCACCAACUCUGUGCCAAAGACUGUGUCCAGUAUUUUACUAUACAUUUCAAACCUUGAUAGCCAUGCACCAAAGACAAUUGUGCUACUCUGCCUUGCACCUGAGGAAGCUGUGAGAUGGUGUGCACCGUGCUAUGGGACCGGGGAGCCGCUGCGCCAGGAUUUCCGGCUACGGCUAUGUGUCUUCCAAGCCCACGCCCUCCCCCUUCCACCUACCCCUUGCUGACUGCAUCUCGCCUGGAGGACUGUUCAGCCCCCAUCUGCUCCGUGUUCUGCCUACGAACUUGGAUCUCCUCUGCAGUGUCAAGAUGGAAGGACCACAAGACUGGGAUCCAGAAAAUCUGCAUGGGGGGAUACAACGCGAACGCAAGAGUUUUUAAAGUGAGAUGGGCCAAGUUUUGACCCACCCAGCCUGACCUGCGAAGCGUCCUGGAGAUCGGACACCCGCCACGGAAGCAGCGUCUGAGAAGCUUUCAAGGGAGAAGCUGGCCUCUGGGCGGUGAGUGGCUUCAGAGAGAGACCCGUGCAGCGAGGAACUGGACCCUCGUUCCAAUGGGAGGAGAUCCACGAUGUUGCACAGAACAGGGUAUGGAAAUACUGCAGUGGUGCUUGCUGGCCCAAGGAGCCUCAAACUGGCUCAUCAUGGCAGCUUUUCCUGUCUCAAUGUCCUUUGAUCUUCACAUAAGACUUUGCUUUGUCGGAGAAAAAAAAAAAUGGGACACAGCAGGAGUAAGUGGUUUGCCCAAGGUCACUCAUCUAGUCAGUGAUGUGGAGAAACAGAGCUGGAGAUUCCUGGAACAAUCAGUGUCGUAAUCACACCAGGUCACUGCAGUUAGCCAGGCCUCCCCUCCUGCCACCUGUUUCAGAGGGGAGCACGAUGUUGGUCUGUCUGAGAGAGAGCCACGAUGAGCCUGCUGCUAUAGGAAAGUCCCGGAGUCGGGGUCCUGGAUUUUGAAGGCAGCCGCGUUACAUGGAUCUGAGCUCCUGGCAACUAUUGGCUGAGACCUGUUUAUCCGUCUGAACA